CCUCAGGCUCCACCUACUGCGGGUUUUAGUUGGUUAGGUUUCGCUCUCGUCUUUCCCCCAACUGUCCCCACUUCCUACAUUCAUUCAUUACACCAUCAUUCAACCUCUCUGCUACACUCCAGUGACUCCUUCCACUGCCAGCCCACUCAACCACAUUAGUCCCUAACAUUGCACUCUUUAAAGUACUCAUCAUGAGGAAAUCUUAACGUAUCUGCCAAGUAGCAAAAUGCUGAUACUGAACAGAUCAGUAAAAUGUUCACUGACUACAUAUUUUUUUUUAAAUGUAACAAGCAACUACAUUUCCUCAUAAAAUAUAACUUGCAAAAGAAUUGAGGACCACAAAGAGAACACAAUUAAUAACAACUCAUAACUCAUAAAUAACACAGGUAACAAAUGUUUGCUCAAAGGAACUUGUACUCUGGUUUUACUCAAAUCAAACCAUGUAACUAACCUUUCUGACUACAAACCUCAGUUAAACAGUGAGCAGUUCUGCUGGGACUGUUACAGAUAAUGCUGUGAUAUACAAAUACUGAAAGAAAGAGGAAGAAGACACAAAGACGGGCAUAUUAACGUUUCUCAGGAAACGAGGCUGUGCAACAAAUGAGAAGAGGAACUGACAAACAAACUGGAGUUUAAUAGUCUCAAUAGUUUCACUGAUCAUCCAAGAUCAUCAAAAUGAGAAGCUCUCUUCUACUGCUCCUCUCCCUGAUGACAGGUUGUUGAGGAAGGAGUAUAAAAAUAAAGGGGAAGGACCAGUGUUUAGGUAACAUACAACAGACAUUCAAGAAACGCUUCAGACCGACCGACUGUAGAAGUGAAAUAACCAGCUAGAGUUUAAUAAUAUGACCAAGGAGCAGCAAGACCAACAUGAUGAAGAUCUUUCUGCUCCUCCUCUCACUGAUGGCAGGCUGUGAGGCCUCAACUGAAGUGAAGGUUUGCAGAGACGGAUGGGUUGAAUUCUACUGCAAAUAUAAAGCAAGUGAAACAUACCAAAUAAUCGAUGUAGUUCCUCCAAACAAUUCAGAAAUACGAAGUACUCAAAAGGAUCAGUGGGAAAACAAAGGCAGAUAUUCUCUGUAUCAUGAUACAAAAAAUAAAAGACUCAAAGUGGCCAUCAAACAACUUCAACAGGAGAACUUUGGGGAAUACGAGUGUGAAUUUUUUCAAGACCAGAACUCACCAGACGAAGUUGAAGAUGAAGUUAAAGUGGCAGCUGAGACAGAUGGCUGCCAGGGACAAUUUAACCAAACUGUGUACAGAACGGCUAAAACCACCAUCACAUGUGAUUAUCCAGAAAACAAACACAGGUUCAGUGACAAGUUUCUCUGCAGAGAGAAUAAAUUCACUUGUGAGGAGAUUUUAUCAACGAGAUCUUCUGUAAAGUCAAACAGAAAAUACAAUCUCACAGAAACCAACAGAGGAUUCAGUGUGUCCAUCAGUAAUGUGUCCUCACAUGAUGCUGGUCUCUACUGGUGUGGAGUGAAUAAAGGAAAUUACCAAACUGGACUCAGAAAAAUCCAACUGGAGGUUGAAGGUGAGCAGCACACAUCUGACACUUCUAGGUUUGAUUCACUCACACAUAUAACUGAGGUCUCUCUGAAAUAUGUUGUUAAAUACAGUCAAUGCUGUCUGUCUACAGAUAUUACGACAUUCGCAAGGUCUCCAACUAUUGGACAGAAUUUUACAUACUGGUGUGAAUAUCCAAAUGGUGCUCCGAUAAAGAAAUUCAUCUGUAAGGGAGAAGAUCCAUCUAUAUGUCAACCUCUAGUAAACACUGUACAGCGCAACAUGAACAACGGAAAGUUUUCCAUGAAGGAAGACAAAUUAAAGAGAAAUGUAACCAUAACAGUGAGAGAAGUAACAGCAGACGACAGUGGGACAUACUGGUGUGGAGCAGAAAGCACUGACACAAGACGCAGUAACACAUUCUUCCACAGAUGCUUGUUGACUGUAGGUGAGUGGUCACAUUAUUUUAUUGUUUGGAUGUAAUCUGACUCCUGUUUAUAUGUAAACCUGACAAUUUGAUUACCAGGUUCAUGAUGGCAUUUUCUUUCUUUUUUUUAUGGAUUUUCUUUACCAGAUUUUACCAAAUUAUAUUUCUUAUUUUCUUACACUUCUAC
rnacentral:lncRNA from 15 species